rnacentral:rRNA from 1 species
GACUGACUGAGUGCCAGCCGCCGCGGUAAUACGUAGGUGGCAAGCGUUGUCCGGAAUUAUUGGGCGUAAAGAGCAUGUACGCGGCCUAUUAAGUCGGGCGUGAAAAUGCGGGGCUCAACCCCGUAUGGCGCCCGAUACUGGUUGGCUUGAGUGCAGGAGAGGAAAGGGGAAUUCCCAGUGUAGCGGUGAAAUGCGUAGAUAUUGGGAGGAACACCAGUGGCGAAGGCGCCUUUCUGGACUGUGUCUGACGCUGAGAUGCGAAAGCCAGGGGAGCGAACGGGAUUAGAUACCCCGGUAGUCCUGGCCGUAAACGAUGGAUACUAGGUGUGGGAGGUAUCGACCCUUCCGUGCCGGAGUUAACGCAAUAAGUAUCCCGC